AGUGAACGCUGGCGGCAGGCCUAACACAUGCAAGUCGAACGGCAGCACAGUAAGAUCUUGCUCUUACGGGUGGCGGGUGGCGGACGGGUGAGGAAUGCAUCGGAAUCUACUUUUUCGUGGGGGAUAACGUAGGUAAACUUACUCUAAUACCGCAUAUGAUGUACGGUUGAAAGCAGUGGAUCUUCUGACCUGUCGCGAUUGAAUGAGCCGAUGUCGGAUUAGCUGGUUGGCGGGGUAAAGGCCCACCAAGGCGACGAUCCGUAGCUUGUCUGAGAGGAUGAUCAGCCACACUGGAACUGAGACACGGUCCAGACUCCUACGGGAGGCAGCAGUGGGGAAUAUUGGACAAUGGGCGCAAGCCUGAUCCAGCCAUACCGCGUGGGUGAAGAAGGCCUUCGGGUUGUAAAGCCCUUUUGUUGGGAAAGAAAAGCAGCAGGUUAAUACCCCGCUGUUCUGACGGUACCCAAAGAAUAAGCACCGGCUAACUUCGUG
rnacentral:rRNA from 1 species